AUUGAACGCUGGCGGCAGGCCUAACACAUGCAAGUCGAGCGAGCGGCGGACGGGUGAGUAAUGUAUGGGGACUGCCCGAUAGAGGGGGAUAACUACUGGAAACGGUGGCUAAUACCGCAUACUAUCGGAUAACCCAUAUGGGAUUAGCUAGUAGGUGGGGUAAAGGCUCACCUAGGCGACGAUCUCUAGCUGGUCUGAGCGGAUUAUCAGCCACCCUGGUACCUAGACACGGGCCAGAAUCCUACGGAGUCAUCAGUGGGGAAUAUUGCACAAUGGGCGCAAGCCUUAUGCAGCCAUGCCGCGUGUAUGAAGAAGGCCUUAUGGUUGUAAAGUACUUUCAGCGGGGAGGCGUUACCCGCAGAAGAAGCACCGGCUAACUCCUUGCCAGCAGCCGCGGUAAUAC
rnacentral:rRNA from 1 species